rnacentral:rRNA from 1 species
GGGGUGCGAUCAUACCAACACUAAUGCACCGGA